CGCAUGCGUAGCUUCAGGGAACGCACGUUUAGUUAAGUCACGUUGGGUCUUAGCACUUAUCAACAGGCAACUUUCUUAAUACAGCCUUUUAUUAAAAAUAAAAAAAACUAAGGUUAAAGUGGAUUCAACAGCAACACGUUGACGCCGUUGGACACGCGACGCUUGUAGCCAAAUAGAAUGCGGCGCGCAGACAUAAAGGACGAACCGGCGACUUAUGAGCGACUUGUGUACAAAAACACAUCCGUUUACCACUAUAUGAGGAUCUCCCUAGUGUUAGAGAAUGAAAACACCAGACUCAGUGCAGCCCAACUGAAGCAGCUCAUCGUCUCUGGCCUCAGGGACCUGUAUGGAGAGGUAAAGUGAAGCUAGACCGACUGGAUCCGAAACUGAAAUGAAACAGAAUAAAUCCAUAUGGAUUAGAGCUGGGCAAUAUUGCCAAAAUUUCAUAUCACAAUAUUUUACU